UUGCAAUGAGUGGCGAACGGGUGAGUAACACGUGGGAAACCUACCUCUUAGCAGGGGAUAACAUUUGGAAACAAAUGCUAAUACCGUAUAAUAAUUAAAACCGCAUGGUUUUAGUUUAAAAGAUGGUCUUGCUAUCACUAAGAGAUGGUCCCGCGGUGUAUUAGUUAGUUGGUGAGGUAAUGGCUCACCAAGACAAUGAUACAUAGCCGAGUUGAGAGACUGACCGGCCACAAUGGGACUGAGACACGGCCCAUACUCCUACGGGAGGCAGCAGUAGGGAAUCUUCCACAAUGGACGAAAGUCUGAUGGAGCAACGCCGCGUGUGUGAUGAAGGGUUUCGGCUCGUAAAACACUGUUGUAAGAGAAGAAUGACAUUGAGAGUAACUGUUCAAUGUGUGACGGUAUCUUACCAGAAAGGAACGGCUAAAUACGUGCCAGCAGCCGCGGUAAUACGUAUGUUCCAAGCGUUAUCCGGAUUUAUUGGGCGUAAAGCGAGCGCAGACGGUUAUUUAAGUCUGAAGUGAAAGCCCUCGGCUCAACCGAGGAAUUGCUUUGGAAACUGGAUAACUUGAGUGCAGUAGAGGAAAGUGGAACUCCAUGUGUAGCGGUGAAAUGCGUAGAUAUAUGGAAGAACACCAGUGGCGAAGGCGGCUUUCUGGACUGUAACUGACGCUGAGGCUCGAAAGCAUGGGUAGCAAACAGGAUUAGAUACCCUGGUAGUCCAUGCCGUAAACGAUGAGUGCUAGGUGUUGGAGGGUUUCCGCCCUUCAGUGCCGCAGCUAACGCAUUAAGCACUCCGCCUGGGGAGUACGACCGCAAGGUUGAAACUCAAAGGAAUUGACGGGGGCCCGCGCAAGCGG
rnacentral:rRNA from 1 species